rnacentral:tRNA from 1 species
CCCGCCUUAGCUCAGCUGGCAGAGCGCGGGCCUGUAGAGCCCGUGGUCCCCGGUUCAAAUCCGGGAGGCGGGA